rnacentral:rRNA from 1 species
GGGUAACCUGCCUGUAAGAUUGGGAUAACUCCGGGAAACCGGAGCUAAUACCGGAUAGUUCCUUGAACCGCAUGGUUCAAGGAUGAAAGACGGUUUCGGCUGUCACUUACAGAUGGACCCGCGGCGCAUUAGCUAGUUGGUGAGGUAACGGCUCACCAAGGCGACGAUGCGUAGCCGACCUGAGAGGGUGAUCGGCCACACUGGGACUGAGACACGGCCCAGACUCCUACGGGAGGCAGCAGUAGGGAAUCUUCCGCAAUGGACGAAAGUCUGACGGAGCAACGCCGCGUGAGUGAUGAAGGUUUUCGGAUCGUAAAGCUCUGUUGUUAGGGAAGAACAAGUGCAAGAGUAACUGCUUGCACCUUGACGGUACCUAACCAGAAAGCCACGGCUAACUACGUGCCAGCAGCCGCGGUAAUACGUAGGUGGCAAGCGUUGUCCGGAAUUAUUGGGCGUAAAGGGCUCGCAGGCGGUUUCUUAAGUCUGAUGUGAAAGCCCCCGGCUCAACCGGGGAGGGUCAUUGGAAACUGGGAAACUUGAGUGCAGAAGAGGAGAGUGGAAUUCCACGU